rnacentral:rRNA from 1 species
AGCGAACGCUAGCGGCGGGCUUAACACAUGCAAGUCGAACGGCAGCACGGGAGCAAUCCUGGUGGCGAGUGGCGAACGGGUGAGUAAUAUAUCGGAACGUGCCCAGUCGUGGGGGGAUAACGUAGCGAAAGCUACGCUAAUACCGCAUACGAUCUAUGGAUGAAAGCGGGGGAUCGCAAGACCUCGCGCGAUUGGAGCGGCCGAUAUCAGAUUAGGUAGUUGGUGGGGUAAAAGCCUACCAAGCCUUCGAUCUGUAGCUGGUCUGAGAGGACGACCAGCCACACUGGAACUGAGACACGGUCCAGACUCCUACGGGAGGCAGCAGUGGGGAAUUUUGGACAAUGGGCGCAAGCCUGAUCCAGCCAUGCCGCGUGCGGGACGAA